rnacentral:rRNA from 1 species
GAGUUUGAUUCUGGCUCAGAGCAAACGCUGGCGGCGUGCCUAAUACAUGCAAGUCGAACGGGGAAAGGCUUCGGCCGAGUACUAGUGGCGAACGGGAGAGCAACACGUGGGUCAUCUACCUCUAAGAGAAGAAUAACCAGUCGAAAGAUUGGCUAAUACUUCGUAAGACCACAGAAACUAAUGUUUCAGUGGUAAAAGGAGCAAUCCGCUUGGAGAUGAGCCCGCGCCCGAUUAGCUAGUUGGCAGGGUAAUGGCCUACCAAGGCUACGAUCGGUAGCUGGUCUGAGAGGAUGACCAGCCUCACUGGAACUGACACACGGUCCAGACUCCUACGGGAGGCAGCAGUAGGGAAUAUUGCGCAAUGGAGGAAACUCUGACGCAGCGACGCCGCGUGGGUGAUGAAGGAUUUCGGUUUGUAAAGCCCUUUUGUCAGGGAAUAAAAAAAUGAAUGUACCU